rnacentral:rRNA from 1 species
GACGAACGCUGGCGGCGUGCUUAACACAUGCAAGUCGAACGGUAAGGCCCUUCGGGGUACACGAGUGGCGAACGGGUGAGUAACACGUGGUGAUCUGCCCUGCACUUCGGGAUAAGCCUGGGAAACUGGGUCUAAUACCGGAUAGGACUCCUGGCUUCAUGGUUGGGGGUGUAAAGCUUUUGCGGUGUGGGAUGGGCCCGCGGCCUAUCAGCUUGUUGGUGGGGUAAUGGCCUACCAAGGCGACGACGGGUAGCCGGCCUGAGAGGGUGACCGGCCACACUGGGACUGAGAUACGGCCCAGACUCCUACGGGAGGCAGCAGUGGGGAAUAUUGCACAAUGGGCGCAAGCCUGAUGCAGCGACGCCGCGUGAGGGAUGACGGCCUCGGUUGUAACUCUUUCAAUAGGACGAGCGCAAGUGACGGUACCGUAUAGUAAGAAGGACCGGCCAACUACGUAGCCAGCAGCCG